UAACGCGUGAGGAACCUGCCUUUCAGAGGGGGACAACAGUUGGAAACGACUGCUAAUACCGCAUAACACAUAGGUGUCGCAUGGCAGUUAUGUCAAAGAUUUAUCGCUGAAAGAUGGCCUCGCGUCUGAUUAGCUAGUUGGUAGGGUAACGGCCUACCAAGGCGACGAUCAGUAGCCGGACUGAGAGGUUGGCCGGCCACAUUGGGACUGAGAUACGGCCCAGACUCCUACGGAAGGCAGCAG
rnacentral:rRNA from 1 species